ACUGCUGCUCAGUCUUUUGGCUAAGAUCAAGUGUAGUAUCUGUUCUUAUCAGUUUAAUAUCUGAUAUAUCCUCUAUCUGAGGACAAUGUAGUUUUUUCUUAAAAAGGGCAAGAGCUUUCAACAGAUAGUUUCGUUUACAAAAGGAGUGAAGCAAAUGGUAAAUAAGCAUACGAAUGUUUAACAUCAUUAGCCAA